CCCAAGUUAAAACAUGUGAUGAAAUUCAGCUUUUACAAUCUAACCCCGAGCUACUUGAAACUAUUAAAGCCUCUCCGGUAUCUGACACAAGUCAGAAUUUCCACUGUUCCAGCUGAGCUUUUAUGAGGAGCAGACUUGAGAGAAACUGCCAAGCUCUCUAGCCCGCCAAGAGGCAAUGAACUUGGCCAACAGGAAGACAAAGAAGAGAUUCAGGACUUGGCUUUUUCUCCCUUGGCCAGUAGCACAGAGGGACCCCCCAGUCCCAGGUCCGGAGCAGACAGUUGGUUUUCUGUGGCCAGAACUCAGUAGCACCUGCUCUCACCAGACCUAGCCAUGUGGUGGCCUGCCACCCACACCAUAUUGCCCACCCUGGGGUGGGCGGCCUCGGACCACAGGACCAAGGGUGCCAGAGGACCACAGAUGGCCACUGGGUCCAGGGUCCCUCAUGGGGUCUUAAGGGCCACACGGACAGGUCCAAAUGCCCACCUGACUCAAACCAGAGUAGCUCUGCUCCUGCUGCCUUAUUUACGGUUUUCACUUUUAAAUACUGACAUUAGUUUUUAAAUUCAUAAGGAAUACAUAAUUAUCUUUUUGAUUUUUUAAAAAAUAUAAUUUUAGAAUUAUUGAUAAUAGAGACAGGGUCUCGCUAUGUUGCCCAGGCUGGUCUUGAACUUGUGAGCUCAAGCAAUUCUCCAGCCUCAGCCUCCCAAAGUGCUGAGAUUAUAAGCAUAAGUCACCAUGCCCAACUAUGUUCUUCUUUCAUAAAAGUUUAACCAUGAAAUGCAGAUAACACAGACUUAAGUCUCCUCCCAUAUUUGGAAAGAGCUAUGGUUAUCAUCUGUCUAGGCCUCUAUCCACACAGUCAUAUGCAUAUGUGGUACCCUAAGAAACUCCUGAGGAUGGUCUGGUGCCUUCUUUUAUGUAAGAGAUAUCAGACUGUAUGCACACACAAAGCUUUCUGUUCACAGGACUCCUCCCCCUUGAUCUGGGGCCUGCUUACAUUUGAACAAAGUUUGCUAGAUACCUGGCUCUCCAGCCUGCCUCCAACUUCUAGGCAACGGAAUUUUCUGGAAUAUGCAGGGCACACGGCCAGCUGGACACCGGCUUCCCCCACUCGCUGCUGCUGAGAAGAGAGCAAUGGACUCCGAGUACCUUCCAGCCGGAAGUCGUCCUCCUCUUCCUCACUGAGCGUGUCUCUCAACACGUCGCCCACGAGCUCCUAGAAGACAAAGCAGAGGCAUUGAGCAGGGGUUAGGGGGAGUCCAGUGCUGAGACAUUAAAAGUGGCGCCUUGAAGACCCUGGGCUGAUUCUUCUGAUGGGAAUUCAGGUCAACUGAGGCAGAUCCUAUCGCACCUGAAAAGUUAAGCACCAAGGUGGGUCCCUCCUGCCCUUAACAUAAACGCACACGUAUCAGCACAACAUUCAGACCCCUGCAGGCUAUGGCUCCACCUGGUCUUCCAUCAUGCCUCCCAUAUUUCAC
rnacentral:lncRNA from 1 species